rnacentral:rRNA from 1 species
GAUGAACGCUGGCGGCGUGCCUAAUACAUGCAAGUCGAGCGAACAGACGAGGAGCUUGCCCCUCUGACGUUAGCGGCGGACGGGUGAGUAACACGUGGAUAACCUACCUAUAUGACUGGGAUAACUUCGGGACACCGGAGCUAAUACCGGAUAAUAUAUUGAACCGCAUGGUUCAAUAGUGAAAGACGGUUUUGCUGUCACUUAUAGAUGGAUCCGCGCCGCAUUAGCUAGUUGGUAAGGUAACGGCUUACCAAGGGAACGAUGCGUAGCCGACCUGAGAGGGGGAUCGGCCACACUGGAACUGGGACACGGUCCAGACUCCUACGGGAGGCAGCAGUAGGGAAUCUUCCGCAAUGGGCGAGAGCUUGACGGAGCAACGCCGCGCGAGUGAUGAAAGUCUUCGGAUCGUAAAACUCUGUUAUGAGGGAAGAACAAAUGUGUAAGUAACUGUGCACGUAUUGACGGUACCUAAUCAGAAAGCCCCGGCUAACUACGUG